rnacentral:miRNA from 1 species
AACGUGUUUUGGGCAAACUUGUUUUCCCACGCGUUAUAGUGAAAACUUUUGGAAUAUGUUUGUUAUGGGAGUAUAUAUUAUUGAUAUUGGAUCUAGAAGCAUAAUUUUAUAUAACAUGUGUACGGGUGGACAUGGUUUCAAAAGUUUUCACUUUAACGCGUGGGAUAUCAUCUACUUCCUCCGUU